CUAGAUAAUUUCACAUAUCAUUGUUUUUGCUAUUGCUAAUACUGUAUGGACUUUUUUUUAUAUAUUUACUCACUCAUCAGCCAAAAAAUUAAGACCACCCGCUUAAUAUUGUGUAGAUACCCCUUGUCCCACCAAAAUGGCUUUGACCUGUCGAAGCCUGGACUCCUGAAGAUCUGGACUGCUGUGGUAUGUGACAUCAAGCUUCCUUAGCAGUAGAUGUGUUGAGUUCUGUAAGUUGCAAGGUGGGGCACACGUUUUUCCAACGCAGAUACUCCUUCAGAUUGGGAUCUGGGGGAAUUUGGACGCUAAGUCAACACCCUGAACUCUUUGUCAUGGUCCUCGAGCCAUUCCUGAGCAAUUUUUGCAGUGUGGCAGGAUGCAUUAUCUUGCUGAAAAAGGCCAGAGCCAUUAGGGAAUACCAUUGCCAUGAAUUCAUAUACUUGGUCUGCAGAACUGUUUCUGUAGUUUGUGUCAAAGUAACAUCCACAUGAAUGCCAGUGCUGAAGGUUUCCCAACAGAACACUUUUCAAAGCAGCACCCUGCCUCCACCAGGUUACCUUAUUCCCAGCUGCCACCCAGCUACCAUCUCUUCCAUAAGUAAGCCUUCUGUUGCUCCACGAUCCAGUUCUGAUGCUCGUGUGCCCAUUGUAGGCACUCUUAGCGGUGAACAGGGCCGGGCACGAGCACUCUGAGUGGUGUACGGCUACGCAGCUCCAUCUACAGCAAGCUGCCAUGCACCGUCUGAUCUGCCAUCUUUCUGUCAUGGCCAGCAUUAACGUUUUCAGCUGUUUGUGCUACAGUAGUUCCUCUGUGGGAUCAGACUAGAUAGGCUAGUCUUUGCUCCCCGUGUGGUGUGCAUCAAUGAGCCUUGGGCACCCAUCACCCUGUCGCUGUAAGUACUAACCACUGCAUACCGGGAACGUCCCACAAGGCUCUGACCCAGUCAUCUAGAUCACACUUUAGCCAUUGCUCAGAUCCUCAUGCCUGAGAAAUUUUCCUGCUUCUAACACAUCAACUUCAUCAAGAACAGAGUGUUUCAAUGCUGCAUAUUAUAUCCCACCACUUGACAGGUACCGUUGUACCUGAGAUAAUUAAUGUAAUUAAUUUUACCUGUCAGAGGUUUUAAUGUUGUGGCUGAUCACUGAUAUAUAUAUAAAGCAAAACUAGCAAUCAUUGACAUGUAGCACUGUGUGACUGUGUUCUAGGCUUAUGCAAAUCGCUGUAUGUGUGUAUCAAGUCUGUCAGUAAUACUUCAGUCAGUGUGAACUGGGACUGAAUGGAAGUGUAGGGACAGGUAUUAGGAAGGCUCUUGUGUGGUACUACUGGGCCCACUGUACCACUGCCUGUAUCAAACAGCAGUUCAUUACAGCACCUUUGCAAAGCACGUCACAGCUAGAUAACUGUAAUAGCACAACCUCGAUCUGUCCUUGAUACUGCUACUCUAAUGUGUGUUGAACUGGUUUUAAAUGGACUAUUUCUCUUGUUGAGUGUGUGGUUUACCAGAAGAGCUUGUUUCUGGCAAUAAAAGUGGAACAGCUGAA